rnacentral:RNase_P_RNA from 1 species
AGAGUGGGCCGGGCGGCCGCUCUCGACCCGCCACCGACGCCUGCGAGCCCGCGUGAAAGGCGCCGACUGUCGCGCGAUGCCGGAGCCAUCGGCGGCGGGCCGAGGGAGGAAAGUCCGAACUGGCGAGGGCACGGUGGUGGCUAACGGCCACCGGGGGCAACCCCAGGGAAAGUGCCACAGAAAACAUACCGCCUGCGGGUUCUCCCGCCGGUAAGGGUGAAAAGGUGCGGUAAGAGCGCACCGCGCGGCUGGUGACAGCCGUGGCAGGGUAAACCCCACCGCCAGCAAGCCCAAAUAGGGAGCGACGAACGGCCCGGCGCGAGCUUGGCUGCUUCACGAGCCGGCCCGGCUCGUCACCAGCUCCGGGUAGGGUGCUCGAGCCCGCCGGCAACGACGGGCCCAGACGAAUGGCCGCCGCCCGAGCGAUCGGGCACAGAAUUCGGCUUACAGGCCCACUCUGCCG